GCAAUGUUCCAUCUGCCAACAAGCUAAGGUUGAACAUGUGAAACUUCCUGGUUUGCUCAAUCCCCUGCCUAUUCCUACACAACCUUGGUCCAUUAUUAGCAUGGACUUUGUGGAAGGCUUACCUGUGUCAGUGCUAGACAUUCUGAGACAGAUGGUCAGACUAAGCGCCUGAAUCAAUGCCUGGAAACUUAUCUGCGUUGUUUUGUUCAUUCCUGCCCUAACAAGUGGAGUCAUUGGCUACCUCUUGCCGAAUUCUGGUAUAACACCUCUUACCACUCUGCAAUUCCUACUACUCCUUAUGAGGUUUUAUAUGGUCACCCCCCACGUUAGCUGGGUGUAAAUGCUGCCUCAGCUACUGCCGUUCCAGAUCUGGAAAUGUGGUUAAAGGAACAUGCAUACAUGAACAUUGUGAUACAGAAUCACUUGCUGCGUGCUCAACACCGUAUGAAAGCUCAAGCUGAUAAAGGCCGUUUUGAACGUGAGUUCGCUGUUGGUGAUCAGGUUUAUCUAAAACUACAGCCUUAUGUUCAAAUGACGGUGGCUUGCCGCAGUAAUCAGAAGUUGUCCUUCAAAUAUUUUGGACCUUUUCGCAUCAUCCAACGCGCGGGCAAGAUGGCUUAUAAGCUACAACUUCCUACCAGUAGUAAAAUACACCCAGUGGUGCAUGUUUCUGUUCUGAAGCUAGCUAUUCCACCGGCCACUGAGGUAUGUCCAGAUCUUCCUGAUGUUUGUUUCGAUCCUGACCAUAUUGCUCUUCCUGAAGCAAUCCUCCAGUGUCGACUGGUUAAGCAAGGUGCAGCCACUAUUGCUCAAGUGCUGGUCAAAUGGCACGAAUUACCAGCUCAACUGGCCACUUGGGAAUCAUUGGAGGACACGCGCCAUAAAUUCCCGUCUGUCCUGGCUUGGGGACACGCCAGUGCUAAAGGAGGGGGAAUUGUCACGAACUGUGACUCACCCGGGCCACCUGGAGCCAGCGAAGCCCAGCCCAGAAGAAGCACCCGCCAAAGAAGGCCCAUCAAUCGAGACUGAGGAAGCCCAACUUAUCGGUGAUGUCAUCGGCCAGCUAUUUAGGCGUCUCCUUCCAAGAUGUCGAAGCGAUCGAGAUUUAGAACUCUCUUGCAUGUUCUUCUGUAACUCUCUCCUCUACCUCCGAAUUCAUCGUUCCUCUGAGUGAAUUCGUGUAUUGGAUCUAUAUACCGUCUAGUGAAUC